rnacentral:misc_RNA from 1 species
GGUAAAUGGAGACAUAUAAAGAAUGAACUCAUACAAAGCAAUGUUCCUUGUGCAUUACUAACCUUGUCUUGCCAGAAAUUAGCCAACAAACUUUUUUGUUCCCUCCUUUUUAGCAAAGAAAAACACAAGUGACAACCUUGCUGAUUCCACUUUCAACUAAAAUUAAAAAAAAAAAAACAAUAAUAAUAAUAAAAUAAAAUAAAAAUCCAGGACUUUACUUCAUCUAUAGUAAUUCUGAAUUUAUAAAGCAUCACACUAAACGGCUGUUGCUAGGCAUUACCAUUUUGCUGUCAUUGUUCUUCAUAUGCCAUUCGUUUUCUCCUCUUUAAAUAAGAAUGAUGCCUUUCAUACCUUUCCAAUUCUUUAUCAUCAAUGGUCUCUCUUGCUUAGAGCUGCUGGUUGAAUCUUGUCGCAAUCUUUAAUAAGAAAAGAGGCAGCCAUUUCCAGGCUGUUUAUUUAUCCUUGCUUUGCAGGCUAGCUGGAACUUCUGGGGCUUGCAAUCCUGUCAGUGGGGAAACUUUUUUCAGAAGCUUUACCAAUACCUACGGAUAACAGCAGGUUCGGUAAACUGGUUUCUUGUGCAAAAUGAAAUCUAUCAUAUGCUGCAUUUUCAGGUUCAAUAUUGUCCAAGUCUCCGGAAAUGUCUGGCGGAUGUGUUGUGCUCUUAUCAACAGAAUAAAACUCAUCUUUCAUAGCAUCGGAUAACAAAUCAGGACCAUUCAACUCUGUAUUCAAUGUCACUUUUCUAUUGUUGACAGCAACUUCUGAUUCCUCUGUGGCCACUAGAUCCUCUUCUGACAAUGAAAAAACCUCUAAUGAACUUCCAGCAUCAUCCUGGAGAGUUUCACUUGCAUGAUCAGAAUGAUUUUCUGGUGGAACAACAAGAUCACUACCUAUCUCACCAUUUGAAUGUGAUUUGACUUCCUCUAUUUCCAGCAGCCUUUGAAUUGCUUCAGCUGCAGCUUUUGUAGCCCACUCAUCAUCAUCAUCUCUUAUAGGAUCCAAUCCAGCUGAAAUGAAGGAUGAUUUCAUGAGAUUUGCAGGAACCACGGGGUUCUUGGAGAAGUAUUCUCCAUACCUUGUGAUUUCCACUAGAAAAUGCAUGUCUAGAACAAACUGAUUUUCUUCAUUAGUUUUCCAAAUAUCUUUGUUGUUUGAAAUCCAGACAAAUAUGGAUUCAAUCAAUUCUCUUAAAAGCUCCAUCAACCAAUCCACUUCAAAAACGUUGAAUUCAGUAAGUUUAUCUAAUUUCCUCAGUUCCAGAAACAACACCUGAAAGACAGCAGAGGGCAUCGCCAUCGGACCAUUACCCAGGCUGGAACAAGUCUCACUAUCAACACAUAUUUCUGGGGUCCAUUUGCAGACCUCAAGAGACACUACUCUGUAUAUAAAUUGCUGGAAGAACUGAGCUCUAAGCUGAGCAGAAGCUUGUUGAAUGACCAUCAAACAACUAUCAAGUUCCUGCUGCUGAGAACCAUUUUUUGUUAGCUCAGAAUCACUACAGUUGAUGCCGCUGAAAAUGCUUGUAAGAGUGCUAGAAAAGAAACGUUCAAGCGUUGACAGAUUUGACAGAAUUGAAACUUGUUGUGGCACUGACUCUGCCAAAAUUAUUCUUGAACCUCCUUUUUCUGGCACAUUUAUUUUGGAGGUGAUAGCUUUUUCAAGGAUGGCAAUAUACUCUAUGAAGAGGUUACUGAGUCCAGAAAGGAUAGAACUUUCCAUUUGAAGGGCAGCUAAAGGGGUAACAUCCUUGAUGAUAGCCUGCAACAGAGUUACAAACUUCCGGCCACUGUUAGUGAGCAUACAGUAUUCUGGUUGCUGCCCAACAACCAUAUAAGAGCAGUCUUCAUUCAAGAUUCCAGAUACGAGAUAUCUGCCCAAAACCCAAGCAUCAGUAGCCGUAAAGAUGCUGAUGACUUUCUUAAAAUGGUCUAUAUGUGUCUCUAAAACAUCUUCCAUACAAGUCCGAAGGUGCUUAACCAAGCAUGGCUGCAAUACCAAUCUUUGAGCUUCUAAUAAAGAGCAAUAUGAGAUUGCAAACUGCACAGCUUCUACCGCUGCAGACAGUCCACUGCUUAUUUCUGAGGUAGAUUUAAGAUGUUUAGCAAAAGAAACAACAAAUACUUCAAUUUCUCUUUCAGCCCAUAGAAUUAGUUCUAAAGCAUAAGGAGAAGUUUCUCCAUAAAGCAUUACAAAGCUCCUUGCUGCUUGAGAAAUCAUAGAAAAUACAAAUUUUGAAAGUUCUUUGAUAUACAACCCUUGUAAAAAUGAUUUUGAACUCUGUAAAUUAUUUAUUCCAGUUGCAAGACGUGAAUGAUAAUAUUUGAGCAAUAACUGAGUUGAUAGAUGACCCUCGCCCAGCCUGCAAAUUCCAACUAGUGCCUUCUGGAGUUCUGCAGCAGUAAUUCUUGAAUUUUCAGCGACCAGAGUUAAUUGCAAUGUAAGCAUGGCCUUCCUCUCAGAAAUUGCAGAGUUAUAUAACAUUAAGACAUCUGAUGGUAUAUCAUCUUCAAGCUGCACCUCUUGUAGGUUUUCUUCCUCCAUUUCUAAAAUUGCAAUAGCAUCAUCAGCUCGAUUUUCUGAUAGAAGCAUGUCCAGGGUUUCUGAAAUAUUACUGAUGUGAGCCUCCAACUGAUUUAAGGGAGCAUAUUCAUCACAUUUCAGCUCCUCAGUGAUUGAUUCCACGGUUUCCUCUGAUAAAACCCUUAGGUAUACACUAUCAGUUAGAUAUUUUACAAGCCUCUUUUGCAUUGAAACAUGGGUUCGCAGCUGCAUCAAUUCCUUUUCCAUUUCUUUUACUUCCUCAUAUACUCUGCGAGCAUUAUACAUUGGGCAAAAAAACAUAUUGAUUUAACAUGAAAAAGGACCAGUCCAUCGGAAGAUAUUUUUUUUAUUACUUAAACUAAGCAUACCACACAUAACCAGAUUACUUGUAAAUGUGCUUAUUUGCAGCUAUUUGAGCAAAUUACACCAAAAUAUUUGAAUGAGACAAUAUGACAAAUGGGGAAACGGUUAAGAACAAAAAAAAAAUAAGAAAGGUACCCAACAAAGGUAGAAUAAUUAGCGAAAAUAUUUCUAUGAAAAUCCUCAUCCGAUGUCGCCUUUAUUUCCAGUAGCUCCGUACAAAGACGCCUUAUCCCCUUUCCGGUCAUGGAUUCGAGCUCGGACUCCUCAUCUCUGUCGCUAGACAAGGAGGAGAUGUCGGAACUGGCAUCGGAAUCUGUUGCAUCCUCCGGUUGCUGGUGGUCACGGAAUUGGAACCUAGAAGACGCCGUAAA